rnacentral:rRNA from 1 species
AUUGAACGCUGGCGGCAGGCUUAACACAUGCAAGUCGAGCGAGCGGCGGACGGGUGAGUAAUGUCUGGGAAACUGCCUGAUGGAGGGGGAUAACUACUGGAAACGGUAGCUAAUACCGCAUACCAUCAGAUGUGCCUAUAUGGGAUGGGCUAGUAGGUGGGGUAAUGGCUCACCAAGGCGACGCACCCUAGCUGGUCUGAGAGGAUGACCAGCCAGACUGUAACUGAGAACCAGCCCAGACUCCUAAGCGAGGCAGCAGUGGGGAAUAUUGCACAAUGGGCGCAAGCCUGAUGCAGCCAUGCCGCGUGUGUGAAGAAGGCCUUCGGGUUGUAAAGCACUUUCAGCGAGGAGGCGUUACUCGCAGAAGAAGCACCGGCUAACUCCGUGCCAGCAGCCGCGGUAAUAC